CAGCCGCCGCGGUAAUACAGAGGGUGCGAGCGUUAAUCGGAUUUACUGGGCGUAAAGCGUGCGUAGGUGGUGGUUUAAGUCCGUUGUGAAAGCCCUGGGCUCAACCUGGGAAUUGCGGUGGAUACUGGGUCACUAGAGUGUGGUAGAGGAUAGUGGAAUUUCCGGUGUAGCAGUGAAAUGCGUAGAGAUCGGAAGGAACAUCUGUGGCGAAGGCGACUAUCUGGGCCAACACUGACACUGAGGCACGAAAGCGUGGGGAGCAAACAGGAUUAGAUACCCCUGUAGUCCCUGUCUCUUAUAA
rnacentral:rRNA from 1 species